rnacentral:tRNA from 1 species
UGCGGGGUGGAGCAGUUGGCAGCUCGUCGGGCUCAUAACCCGAAGGUCGCACGUUCGAGUCGUGUCCCCGCUACCCA